UACGAGGGGGGCAAAUGUUGUUCGGAAUCACUGGGCGUAAAGGGAGCGUAGGCGGGUUUUUAAGUCAGGUGUUUAAUCCCGGGGCCCAACCCCGGACCGGCACUUGAAACUGGAAAUCUUGAAUAGUGGAGAGGUCAGUGGAAUUGGGGGUGUAGCGGUGGAAUGCGUAGAGAUCCCCAAGAACACCAGUUGCGAAGGCGGCUGACUGGACACAUAUUGACGCUGAGGCUCGAAAGCAUGGGGAGCAAAC
rnacentral:rRNA from 1 species